rnacentral:rRNA from 1 species
CACGCCCUAAACGAUGUCAACUAGGUGUUGGGUGGGUAAAACCAUUUAGUACCGGAGCUAACGCGUGAAGUUGACCGCCUGGGGAGUACGGCCGCAAGGUUAAAACUCAAAGGAAUUGACGGGGACCCGCACAAGCGGUGGAUGAUGUGGAUUAAUUCGAUGCAACGCGAAAAACCUUACCUACCCUUGACAUGUCCAGGAGCCUGAAGAGAUUUGGGUGUGCCCGAAAGGGAACUGGAACACAGGUGC